GUUUGCCUCUGUAUCUAGGUCUAUACCCGAACUCUUACCGAACUCGAGCGUCCUUACCUAAAUAGCCAUACAUACUACUUUUGUGGGAACCAUGGCUUUCAAAUUAAUUUAAUAUAAAAAUGGUUGCGUUAU
rnacentral:rRNA from 1 species